CUGUGAGGGAGUGGGUGAGUGAGUGAAUGAGGGUGGGUGAGUGAGUGGGAGAGAGCGAGUGGAGCGUCGCCCCCUACACUGAUCUUAUUUGAUCGGCCGGCAUCCCGGGCGCCGGGCCGGCGUGAUGAGAAGCCGCGUGUGAGCUCCGGCGGUGAGCGGGCGGCGGCCAAGCCCCGGGCCUGCGGGUGUGAUGAACCGAUCAGAUAGACGAGGCUGCGGCUCUGCCCGGCCGCUGAGUAUCGAGGCGAUUCUGAUCCGC